UUCAAGAACCGGAAGUCAUAGAGACUUGUAACCUUCACCAAUAAUCUUAAAUUCAUAUGACCUUUAAUAUGCACCCAAGGUCAAAGGUCACCGAGUGCAAAAAAAAAGUACGCUGCAAUUUCAAGCUUACAUAUUAGGAAAACGAUAAGACUUUGCUGCAUACAUACAGCGUAUAAAAUGUUCUUCUCGACAAGCUCUACAUUUUAUACAAUAAGCCCAAAAAUGUCCG
rnacentral:lncRNA from 1 species